CUGCGGGGUAGGUGUCUCUCUGUCUGUGGGGUAGGUGUCUCUGUCUGUGGGGUAGGUGUCUCUGUCUGUGGGGUAGGUGUCUCUGUCUGUGGGGUAGGUGUCUCUGUCUGUGGGGUAGGUGUCUCUGUCUGUGGGGUAGGUGUCUCUGUCUGUGGGGUAGGUGUCUCUGUCUGUGGGGUAGGUGUCUCUGUCUGUGGGGUAGGUGUCUCUGUCUGUGGGGUAGGUGUCUCUGUCUGUGGGGUAGGUGUCUCUGUCUGUGGGGUAGGUGUCUCUGUCUGUGGGGUAGGUGUCUCUGUCUGUGGGGUAGGUGUCUCUGUCUGUGGGGUAGGUGUCUCUGUCUGUGGGGUAGGUGUCUCUGUCUGUGGGGUAGGUGUCUCUGUCUGUGGGGUAGGUGUCUCUGUCUGUGGGGUAGGUGUCUCUGUCUGUGGGGUAGGUGUCUCUGUCUGUGGGGUAGGUGUCUCUGUCUGUGGGGUAGGUGUCUCUGUCUGUGGGGUAGGUGUCUCUGUCUGUGGGGUAGGUGUCUCUCUGUCUGUGGGGUAGGUGUCUCUCUGUCUGUGGGGUAGGUGUCUCUGUCUGUGGGGUAGGUGUCUCUGUCUGUGGGGUAGGUCUCUCUGUCUGUGGGGUAGGUCUCUCUGUCUGUGGGGUAGGUGUCUCUCUGUCUGUGGGGUAGGUGUCUCUGUCUGCGGGGUAGGUGUCUCUGUCUGUGGGGUAGGUGUCUCUGUCUGUGGGGUAGGUGUCUCUGUCUGUGGGGUAGGUGUCUCUGUCUGUGGGGUAGGUGUCUCUGUCUGUGGGGUAGGUGUCUCUGUCUGUGGGGUAGGUGUCUCUGUCUGUGGGGUAGGUGUCUCUGUCUGCGGGGUAGGUGUCUCUGUCUGCGGGGUAGGUGUCUCUGUCUGCGGGGUAGGUCUCUCUGUCUGCGGGGUAGGUCUCUCUGUCUGCGGGGUAGGUCUCUCUGUCUGUGGGGUAGGUGUCUCUGUCUGUGGGGUAGGUGUCUCUGUCUGUGGGGUAGGUCUCUCUGUCUGUGGGGUAGGUGUCUCUGUCUGUGGGGUAGGUGUCUCUGUCUGUGGGGUAGGUCUCUCUGUCUGUGGGGUAGGUGUCUCUGUCUGUGGGGUAGGUGUCUCUGUCUGUGGGGUAGGUGUCUCUGUCUGUGGGGUAGGUGUCUCUGUCUGUGGGGUAGGUGUCUCUGUCUGUGGGGUAGGUGUCUCUCUGUCUGUGGGGUAGGUGUCUCUGUCUGCGGGGUAGGUGUCUCUGUCUGCGGGGUAGGUGUCUCUGUCUGUGGGGUAGGUGUCUCUGUCUGUGGGGUAGGUGUCUCUGUCUGUGGGGUAGGUGUCUCUGUCUGUGGGGUAGGUGUCUCUGUCUGUGGGGUAGGUGUCUCUGUCUGUGGGGUAGGUGUCUCUGUCUGUGGGGUAGGUGUCUCUGUCUGUGGGGUAGGUGUCUCUGUCUGUGGGGUAGGUCUCUCUGUCUGUGGGGUAGGUGUCUCUCUGUCUGUGGGGUAGGUGUCUCUGUCUGUGGGGUAGGUGUCUGUCUGUGGGGUAGGUGUCUCUGUCUGCGGGGUAGGUGUCUCUGUCUGUGGGGUAGGUGUCUCUGUCUGCGGGGUAGGUCUCUCUGUCUGCGGGGUAGGUGCGUUUUGUGCGUGAGCAUGUUGAUUUUGUCCAUCCACACCAGAUGGGAUCAAGACACGCAGGCUGAAAUAUCAAAACGAACUCUGAACAAACUAUAUUAAUUUGGGGACAGGAUCUUUGUAGAACUUUGAGUCACACAAAAUCAUGUGAUCUCUACUCUGACAUUUACAUCUAAUCCACAGAUAACAAGGGGAAGCCCUAGUAAAUUCCUAAAACAUCUUCUUCAGUUGUCGUCGUCUUCUGUGGAUUUUAUCUGGCGGUUGGCAACCAACUUUAAAGGUGCAUUAACCACCACCAACUGGACUGGAGUGUGUGGACUUCAGUUCAUCUUUCAAACACCCACGUGGGUAUAUGCUCCUAACAACCAAUGAGAUUGGAGAGGCGGGACUUGCGGCGCGUCUAAGAGAACCAUGUUCUAUUUCAGUGGCUGUGCAGACGCUCAGUCUGGAUUAAAUUAUUAACAUGUCUGUGUACAUUUCAU